rnacentral:rRNA from 1 species
UACGGAGGGUGCGAGCGUUGUCCGGAAUCAUUGGGCGUAAAGGGCGCGUAGGUGGCCCCUCAAGCGUGCGGUGAAAGUCAGGGGCUCAACCUCUGAUCGGCCGUGCGAACUGGGGAGCUUGAGCACUGUAGAGGCAGGCGGAAUUCCGGGUGUAGCGGUGGAAUGCGUAGAGAUCCGGAAGAGCACCAGUGGCGAAGGCGGCCCGCUGGGCAGUGGCUGACGCUGAGGCGCGACAGCGUGGGGAGCAAACAGG